UGCAUGUGUAAGCGAAGCGAUAAGUGGAGCGGUGAAAGGCUCAGUAACGGGCGAUUUAUUUGAUCUCCUGGGACGGACAACAUCGGGAAACUGAUGGGAAAACGUCUAAGUUGCAGUUUUUUUUUGAUUGCGACGUAAACCUUUUGGUGCAGGAGAGUAAGAUGCCAUCCUAUCAGUUAGUAAGUAGGGUAAGGGCCUACUUAGACGAAGACGGG
rnacentral:rRNA from 1 species